AUUGAACGCUGGCGGCAGGCCUAACACAUGCAAGUCGAGCGGAUGAAGGGAGCUUGCUCCUGGAUUCAGCGGCGGACGGGUGAGUAAUGCCUAGGAAUCUGCCUGGUAGUGGGGGGUAACGUCCGGAAACGGGCGCUAAUACCGCAUACGUCCUGAGGGAGAAAGUGGGGAUCUUCGGACCUCACGCUAUCAGAUGAGCCUAGGUCGGAUUAGCUAGUUGGUGGGGUAAAGGCCUACCAAGGCGACGAUCCGUAACUGGUCUGAGAGGAUGAUCAGUCACACUGGAACUGAGACACGGUCCAGACUCCUACGGGAGGCAGCAGUGGGGAAUAUUGGACAAUGGGCGAAAGCCUGAUCCAGCCAUGCCGCGUGUGUGAAGAAGGUCUUCGGAUUGUAAAGCACUUUAAGUUGGGAGGAAGGGCAGUAAGUUAAUACCUUGCUGUUUUGACGUUACCAACAGAAUAAGCACCGGCUAACUUCGUG
rnacentral:rRNA from 1 species